GCUCCUACGGGGCGCAGCAGUCGGGAAUAUUGCACAAUGGAGGAAACUCUGAUGCAGUGACACCGCGUAUAGGAAGAAGGUUUUCGGAUUGUAAACUAUUUUAGACAGGGAAGAAAAAAGACAGUACCUGUAGAAUAAGCUCCGGCUAACUACGUGCCAGCAGCCGCGGUAAUACGUAGGGAGCAAGCGUUAUCCGGAAUUAUUGGGUGUAAAGGGCUCGUAGGCGGUUCGUCGCGUCCGGUGUGAAAGUCCAUCGCUUAACGGUGGAUCCGCGCCGGGUACGGGCGGGCUUGA
rnacentral:rRNA from 1 species